UAGGGAAUCUUCGGCAAUGGGGGGAACCCUGACCGAGCAACGCCGCGUGAGUGAAGAAGGUUUUCGGAUCGUAAAGCUCUGUUGUUAAGGAAGAACGAGUGUGAGAAUGGAAAGUUCAUACUGUGACGGUACUUAACCAGAAAGCCACGGCUAACUACGUGCCAGCAGCCGCGGUAAUACGUAGGUGGCAAGCGUUGUCCGGAUUUAUUGGGCGUAAAGCGAGCGCAGGCGGUCAAUUAAGUCUGAUGUGAAAGCCCACGGCUCAACCGUGGAGGGUCAUUGGAAACUGGAAAACUUGAGUGCAGAAGAGGAAAGUGGAAUUCCAUGUGUAGCGGUGAAAUGCGCAGAGAUAUGGAGGAACACCAGUGGCGAAGGCGACUUUCUGGUCUGUAACUGACGCUGAUGUGCGAAAGCGUGGGGAUCAAACAGG
rnacentral:rRNA from 1 species